UCGGUUUUGAUGUAGGCCCAAUAGUCAUACCACCACGCACCUUUUUUUCUUCCAAGAAAAACAACCUGUUUCCCUUGAAAAAAUACAAUGCACUAUGCUCUUAUCUCGUUAGAUCCCUCACCAGGUUCCUCUCAUCCACAAGCGCCAUUUCUUUCGAUUUGCUGCGAGCGAUUGAGAGAUGUCGUUGCUGGCAUCAAGUAAUCGAGCCCCAUGCUAUCCUGAAUCUAGUUGCCACUUAUUUUCUUUGAAUUUCUCUUCCUUGGGUGGUGGCUUAGGUGUCCGGAUGAGUGCGUGCAUGCGUUUGAUGCAGUCUCUACGGGUGCGGAUCCUCACUUACCUCGUUGACACUGGCAACACGGCUACGGUGAGCGCCAGGCAGAAAGCGCCGGCUGUGCUGCUCAACCUCGUCUAGCGGCCGUGGCAGAGAUGCUGAAGGUUGGGGGCGCGGAGGAGACGGUGGGGGAUCUCACGGAGGAUGGGACGCCGGUUCGUGUAUUUGCAGAACGAAAUCGUGCUACUGACUUACUGAGUUGUUACCCUCCACAUUUGUCGUGCUGUCGGACUCAUAUUAAAUUGUGGCCUUCUUUUUUGCAAAAAAAAAAGCGACAACAUCUGACCUUUGUACUCUUGGUCUUCCAGCCUUUUUUUUACUUUGCUCCAGCAGAUUUCCUGUUCUUGCGGACAUCUUUUCCCUUCCUUUCUGUCAUACUUGCCACAUUUCAUUCUUCCUCUUGAGUCAUUUGAUAGUACAAUAGAUCUCAGUCUCCUCUUUUUGUCACUUUGUAGUUCACAUGAUGAUAACAGUUGGUCGUGGUGCCCAUCUUUGUUUACUGUAGCCCCAUUUCUAUCAUGUGGUUCCUCUUUCGCAAGCACCAGUUCACAUGACAUUUUGGUAGGUGAAACUUUAUUAUUUCGUGACUGCAAAAUAAAUAUAUAUUUGUAAAUUAGACAUGUUUCUAAAAAAUCUGGAAGUGUAUAUGUGAAUAAAAAUCUAUCACCCUUUUAACUGCAUGUUCAGCUUCUUUGUAUUAUGUUUUAGCAAGGCGUCCCCUUCAUCAUCCAUCAAAUCAUGUGCAACAUAUGUGCCGAAUCGGUUUGGAACUUAUAAACAUGGUACCUAAUUUUUAAUUUUUGGAAAAUGAAUAAAAACACCUUUACCUCGUCAGCUUUAUUGUAUAAGUACAUCAUCUCUAGUCGAUCAUUAGGCACAAAUGUUAUUUUUACAUAAUUAUGGUAUUAACUUUGGAGCAUCAGAUUUCCCAUCCAAUGACUCAGCAAGUUAAAGAUAGAUGUAUAAUGGUCAUAAAAGUAAUUAGUUUGAAGUCUUAAUAACAACUAUAAAAAUACCCAAGCGUUGGAGUGUAGUUGAAAGUCUCAAUUGAAAUCAUAAACAUACAUGAGCAUCGUAUAUCUUCCUUUGCCCGUUCUUGUAUUAAGUCAGGUUCUUGGUAGAUAGCUCGAAGUAAUAAAAGGAGGAUAUUUUGUGGAUUCCUCAAUCGUAAAAUUGCUAAAUGCAUAAGUAGAUUGCUCAUCGAUCUUUGAUCUGAAAGUGUGUAUGAGACUUAGUAAUUGUUUUUAAAAAUGCUAGAAUAAUUUCUAGUUUAAAAUAUAAAGAAUAUACAUGUUCAUACAUUAAGAUCAUAUCUAGGCUAAUAAGCUCAUCAAUUGCAGGAUUUAUCCCGUAUCCUUAUUACUUUCACUUGAAUGUUCCCGUUUUGUCCCUUCGUUGUUAAGUCGCUCAAUUUCUUGUGUGGCACAAUGUUUUGCCUACAAAUAAUACAAAAAUAGUUUUUCAAUUCAUGAAGUACCAGUGAAAACUCCCAAAACUAAGUGAAUUUAGUAAAUAAUAAUUACCAAACUUGAUAAGUCAGGUGAGAAGACAUUGGGCGUGGCGUCGUCCAACUUCAAGUUACGUAUUACUCCCUCCUUUUUGGUUUAUAGGGCUUAUCUCAAAAUUUUAGUUUUUCCAUUUUAUAAGGCUCAAUUUGGUUGUUUUCCAUCACAUGUUCAGAUUCCAAGGUGCAUUAAAUCAUUGCUUGCAAGUAUUAAGAGAAAAUCGACCAAUGCAUGUACUUUAUGCAUGCAUGCAUUGCAAUUUAUGCAUUGAUAAACAUAAUGUUUUGAGGAAAACAAGUGCAUUAAUUAGGUGCUUUUGCAAACUACAAAAAGUAUUCCACCAUUCAUCAUCUACUUUGGUUGGUGAGAUUUUUGAAUUGAGCCCUAUAAACCGAAAAGGAGGGAGUAUGUGAAUCUGUUGGAUGUGGUAGUCAUGGAGUGUCAGUUCUUGUUGACUUCAAUAUUUGUCGGUGUCGAGUUGAGCGUCAAGUCGCCCGUUGCUUCCUAUUACCAGCUAACUUUGUUUUAUUUGUGGUGUCAAGACUCAGGCAUCAAUUUUCUCAUUGUGUCUAGCACUGGCUCACUUUGAUUCUCCUGUUUUUGGUAGAUUCUUGGGCGUGUGCUAUAUGUGGUCAGCUAAUAAUUGUCGAACUUGAUGAUUCAGGUGAGAAGACAUUGGGCACCGUCUGACUUUGAGUUUUCGUGCCACAUGAAGCAGUUGGAUGUGGUAGUUGUGCAGUGGCAGUUCUUGCUAACUUCGAUAUUUGUCGGUGUCGAGUUGAGCAGCGAGUCUCCCAUUGCAUCAUCGUACCAGCUUCAUUUUUUCUUGGUGGUGUCAAGACUCAGGCAUUGAUUUCGUCCCAUUGGUUAUGUCCGUGUCGAGUUGAGCGGCAAGUCUCCCAUUGCAUCAUCGUACCAUCUUCAUUUUUCUUUGUGGUGUCAAGACUCAGGCAUUGAUUUCGACCCACUUGCUCCCUUCAAUUUCUUGUUUUUGGCUGAUUUAUUGGGCAUGUGUUUUAUGUGGACGACUGGUCUUGUUUAUAUUGGUUGAUGUGGCUAACACCGUGUUGAGUCCUGAUCCUAUAUUUGUCUUGCAUGCAUCUGUCCGGUUUUGGAUUGUCAGCAUGUGAGUUGUACUUACGUAUCCUUAUAUGCUUGGAUAUCCUUAUUUGUUGACCCAUCAUUGAGAAAGAAAACUAUUAUUUGGAUCUUUC